rnacentral:rRNA from 1 species
GAUGAACGCUAGCUACAGGCUUAACACAUGCAAGUCGAGGGGAAACGAUAGAGAAAGCUUGCUUUUUCUAGGCGUCGACCGGCGCACGGGUGAGUAACGCGUAUCCAACCUGCCCAUCACUUGGGGAUAACCUUGCGAAAGUAAGACUAGUACCCAAUGACGUCCAUAGAAGACAUCUGAAAGGGAUUAAAGAUUUAUCGGUGAUGGAUGGGGAUGCGUCUGAUUAGCUUGUUGGCGGGGUAACGGCCCACCAAGGCGACGGUCAGUAGGGGUUCUGAGAGGAAGGUCCCCCACAUUGGAACUGAGACACGGUCCAAACUCCUACGGGAGGCAGCAGUGAGGAAUAUUGGUCAAUGGGCGAGAGCCUGAACCAGCCAAGUAGCGUGCAGGAUGACGGCCCUAUGGGUUGUAAACUGCUUUUAUAAGGGAAUAAAGUGAGCCUCGUGAGGCUUUUUGCAUGUACCUUAUGAAUAAGGACCGGCUAAUUCCGUGCCAGCCGCCGCAGUAA